rnacentral:lncRNA from 1 species
AACUCUUGCACAGCUGCAUGUGGUAGCUGAGGAAACUCCUGCAGUUUUUAGCAAGCAGUCAGUCGGGACAGCGUGUCUCACACAGGGAGAAGUUUCAUGGCUGUCUGGCCACACUGGUUACAGAGCUGACAGUGUCCCUGUUGGUCUCAAGGUGGUUGCUGCAUCUCAAAGCAUCACACUCACGUUAAAGAUGAAACAAAGAAGAGGCAGAUGGCAUGCUAACCCAUGCCUGUCCUCUAACCAGGAAGGCAACAACAGUUCCCUAGAUACUUCAUCUGCAGCUGGAAACGUUCCUCACACUAACUAGAAAUACUAUGGUUACGCUUAACACGAGGAGCUAGGAAAUUGGACCCAGGCCCUAUGACUGUACUAAAAGCAGCAUUUUCCAAGAAUGUUGACUGCAUCCAUAAUAAGAAAUAAAUUUCAUUGCAACCCUGAGAAAUGAAUGGUUAUAUCUAAAAGUAAACCUAGAUAGAAUACUUGAAUUUACUUGAAUAUGUUCUGUUUGUAGGUUUCUUGAUGCUGGUCUUAAUGUGCUAAAUUGAUUUCAUACUCUGAUGACGCGGAGCAUGUCUCAUAGUUCAAAAAACAUUCAUUUAUCCUGAGCAUAAUCAAUGACUUGGAACCUACCAACGCUAAAUACCACCAGGGACCCCUUAGGAAAGACCAAGGGAGGCAGCUAUCAGGAGGAAUCAUUCAACAGCAAAAGCAGGCAGUAUGUAUGUAUGCGAAGGUUCUGUGAGUGGAGGCAGCGGCUGUGCACAGCCAAUGCCAGGCAAGCUGCACUCUGGAAUGCCUGAAGGUACAUUAGGCCCUGCCCUCCACUGUAGGCCUUGGCUACUGCAGAAGCGCCCUGUCAAUCCACGUGUAAUCCUAGCAUGUGGGAGGAAGAGUCAGGGGAAUGAAGAGUUCAAGGCUAACUUUGGUUACUUGUAACUCCAGUUC